rnacentral:ncRNA from 1 species
CAUAUAACGUUGACGGAAAGAAGUACCUAAAGAUUAUUUUGUAUAGCGAAUUGAGGAUGGUGUGAGCUCAAUCAAAACCUUUAGCGAAAGGCAUUCCUGAGUUAAUUUUUAAAGUGGACAAUUUUUUUAAUUGUCAACUAGGGUGGAACCGCGGGUGCAUAUACAGCUCUCGUCCCUAGG